rnacentral:tRNA from 1 species
GUUAAGAUAGCUGUGUUGGUCUAAGGUACCAGUUUGAGUUAUUGAUCUGAAAAUGCAUGGGCUCAAAUCUCAUUCUUGAUA